rnacentral:rRNA from 1 species
AUUGAACGCUAGCGGGAUGCCUUACACAUGCAAGUCGAACGGAGUGGCGAACGGGUGAGUAAUGUAUCGGAACGUGCCCAGUAGCGGGGGAUAACUACGCGAAAGCGUAGCUAAUAUCGCAUACUCUUGGUCCGGCAUCUAUCGGAUUAGCUAGUUGGGGGGGUAACGGCUCACCAAGGCUACGAUCCAUAGCAGGUUUGAGAGGACGACCAGCCACACUGGGACUGAGACACGGCCCAAACUCCUACGGGAGGCAGCAGUAGGGAAUUUUGGGCAAUGGGCGAAACCCUGAUCCAGCCAUCCCGCGUGUGCGAAGAAGGCCUUCGGGUUGUAAAGCACUUUUGGCAGGAAAGCGGUACCUGCAGAGUAAGCACCGGCUAACUACGUGCCAGCAGCCGCGGUAAUAC